CGGACGGGUGAGUAACACGUGGAUAACCUACCUAUAAGACUGGGAUAACUUCGGGAAACCGGAGCUAAUACCGGAUAAUAUAUUGAACCGCAUGGUUCAAUAGUGAAAGACGGUUUUGCUGUCACUUAUAGAUGGAUCCGCGCCGCAUUAGCUAGUUGUAAGGUAACGGCUUACCAAGGCAACGAUGCGUAGCCGACCUGAGAGGGUGAUCGGCCACACUGGAACUGAGACACGGUCCAG
rnacentral:rRNA from 1 species